rnacentral:lncRNA from 1 species
AUCCUGGCCAACUUGGAGCAAGGCUUAGCUGAAGACGGUGGUCUGAGCAGUGUCACCCAGGAAAGCAGGCAAGCCUCUGUUCAGCUGUGGAGGUCUCGUCUGGGCCGAGUGCUGUACUCCAUGGCAAACUGUCUGCUCCUGAUGAAGGACUAUGUGCUGGCUGUAAACGCUUACCUCACAGUAAUCAAGUACUACCCGGAGCAGGAGCCACAGCUGCUGAGUGGAAUUGGCCGCAUUCUCCUCCAGGUACUGGCCACACUGCGUAGAGACCAACAGCUGAGUGCAGCAGCUGCAACCCAGCAAGGUUGCCUGGGAAUUCUGUCCCUCAGAACUCAUACAAAUGGGCAGUAGUAAGGAAAUAUUUCAGUUCAAAUUAAUGUGGCCGCUAAGGUGUUCUCUGCAAUGUUUCUGUUGUGUGCUGUCCUGUUGCAGUUAGGGUCAUCUGCUAACGGUAGCUGCUGUGUUGAGGGAACACUCAAGUGGACCCUGACACAGGGGCUGCAGUAAUGCCGAGGCCUGGCCACCCUCAGCAAGGCUCUCUAAUAUUUGGUACAUCUUCUUGUCAUCCAGGAUCAUGAUCUCCCACUGCAGGCUGCCCAGGACAGG